GACGAACGCUGGCGGCGUGCUUAACACAUGCAAGUCGAACGGAAAGGCCCUGCUUGCAGGGUACUCGAGUGGCGAACGGGUGAGUAACACGUGGGUGAUCUGCCCUGCACUUCGGGAUAAGCCUGGGAAACUGGGUCUAAUACCGGAUAGGAGCCAUUUUUAGUGUGAUGGUUGGAAAGUUUUUUCGGUGUAGGAUGAGCUCGCGGCCUAUCAGCUUGUUGGUGGGGUAAUGGCCUACCAAGGCGGCGACGGGUAGCCGGCCUGAGAGGGUGGACGGCCACAUUGGGACUGAGAUACGGCCCAGACUCCUACGGGAGGCAGCAGUGGGGAAUAUUGCACAAUGGGCGCAAGCCUGAUGCAGCGACGCCGCGUGGGGGAUGACGGCCUCGGGUUGUAAACUCCUUUCGCUAGGGACGAAGCUUUUUGUGACGGUACCUAGAGAAGAAGCACCGGCUAACUACGUG
rnacentral:rRNA from 1 species